rnacentral:siRNA from 1 species
UCUGCCUUGAACAUCGACAUUG